UGAUACUUAGAGUGAAUUUUGAAUGACUCUUUUUUUUUUUGCAGUUGUGCAUGUUUUUUAAGUGAUAUUGACAAAAUAAUUCAGCAUUGCAAUUUAUGUCUGGAAUUUCUUUUAAGUCAAGUGUUACAUCAAGUGGGAUUCCCUUAUUUUAGUUGCAACAAAAGUGAAAUAUUUAGCUGAUUCAUAGGGAGUUCGAAAGGCAGGAUACCUGAUCAAACUUUGUGCCAAAUAUUUUGAAAAUGUUUCUACCCCGAGGAUUUGUGAGAUAUCGUCAACAACAACAACAACAGCAUUAUUUAUCAUUAAGACAACAUUAUUUGGGAAACGGUUAUUGUGUUCGACCACAAUUUUUUUAUUUGAGUGUUUCAUCUCCCACUUUUUAACUUGGAUAUCGAAUUCCAUUUUGUUGUUGAUUAUGGAGCUGUCUUCUGUCGUGGUUAAACGGCGGCUCACUCUUCUUGCUUCAACAAGGUCUGCUUUUGGCACAGAUUUUGGCUCAAAUCCACCCAUCAAUAACUUGAGGCGAGACCGGUGAUUGCUAUGCCAAAUGCGCCAUGGUCGAGUGUAUGCAUGGACUCAAGAGCAAAACCUUUGAUUAUUGGAUAACCAAACAGAAGGAAUGGACUGGGAUUUACGAGAUCAGUGCAAUGGUUGUCUUCAGUGUUAUCGUUUCUAUCACUUGAAUAGUUAUUUUUUUAUCCGUUCCGCGCUGGACGCACCGUUUGCAACCAAAGUACCCUGUUCCGGAUUUACACUUCUAUAGAAAAGCUCAAAUUGGAGAGUCGCAACGCAUACAUCGCAGACUACAUGUACAACGUCUGUCUAUUGUUUCUGGCCCAUCGUUUAGCGGAUCCAGGCGACGUAACUCUGCCAAUAAGGAAUCGAUGAGCUCCUCAACUGUUGGCUUUCCCGGUCCUUGAUACACACCGCCAAUGAAAGGUCGUAGGCUUUGAGAACAAGAUUUACUUCUUUGCCGUCUUUAAACAGCACUUUAUUUGGCAUGGACAUUUCGCUAUGAUCUACAGUUGGAAUUUGACUGCUCACAAUUUGUUUCUGGCGAGAUUAUUAGUGGUAAUUGCGCAAUAUAAGUAUCGAUUGAGAUUUUUUAUUAUAAAAAUUAGUAAAGUAAAAAAAAUUAAUAUAUUUGGUAACGCUUUUUGCAAUUACGUCAUAAAUAGCAGUGCUGAUGGGCCAAGAUCUUAAGUUUGACAGAGCUAAUGGUUCAGAACUUGAUGUGUUAUUACACUUGUGAAGAAGUGAAACAGCUUCGUGAUGUCAGAGUUAAAUCAAAAUCUCACCCUUCUACACGAUGCAGUAAGGCUUUAAUAACAGUAAAUGAUUUUCCUUUGCUUAAAGUUAAUAUUUACAUUGUUUGAUAGGUGCCCAAGUCUAGCUGGCUCGGGUGUUACAAAAAUUUAGAUUUACUAAUCAACAAGAAUACACCCCUACUCUAUGCAAUUGUGCAAACCAUGGAAGACGGCAAUGUCAUCCACAGCCUUGUCUUGCCAGAGCUGAUUUCUGAUUUCGAAAAGUAUACUUUUUAUCCAAGGAUGACUCAACAAAAGUCCUCGCAACCAGUUUACUGGGAAAACACCAAAUUCAUGAACAAUAGAAAUCCCAAGUCAGAUUGGCUCGAGUAUGAAUUGGUCAGUUAUCUCAAUCCACACG
rnacentral:lncRNA from 1 species